GUCCUCUGCCCAAGUUCUAAACCAGCAAUGCAAAGAGCUAAGAAUUGCUUCAUGCUGAACUAGCCCAGCCCUGGGGCUGAUUAGUGGAAUCCACUGCAAGAUAAUUUGUUAUUCAUACUUAUCCAUUCACCUCCUGCUGGGCUGAGAUAAAGGUAUCCAUGCUUCAAAUGUUACAGCUUUGAGAAGGGAAAAGCCAAGGGGAUGUCUUGUUUUCCUUCUGUCUGUGGAAGCCGUGAAUUUUGGAUCGGCACUGUAAUAAAGCCUACAUUCAAAAAACAUACCCAGCACUGAUUCAUCUCCUGGAAGUUAUCAGCAGCAUCUGUUGUCUCUGGUACAUUGUGAUUUUCUAUUACUCUCUGAUGCCGUUUCCACCAGUGCAAAAUCAGCAUCAACUGCUACCUCCCAGCCUUUAGCUGGGCUGUUUCACAAGAUGCAGGAUAGCAAAAUUUAUUUUUUUUUUUCCCCCAGCUAAUUGGAAAAUGAAAUAAAACACAUCAUUAAGUUUCCAAAGUCAUUUUCCAGGUUCAUAUAACCAGUUUAUAGCAAGUUGCUCUUGUGUUGGACAACCCAACUAAAGUGUGGAUCUACUCAGUGGUGAAUGGUUUGGAUUAAUUUUUUGCUGCAGGGUGCCCCCAACACAUGGUAAUAACAGCUCCAGGUCCCCAGGUGCAUGAUGGCCUGAGUGAGAGUGGCCUGAGACCAGUUUAGGUUCUUGACUUGACCCUGUCUCCAAACAGAGCCCAGGGACAGUAUUUCUUUUUCAGCCACUCCUCAGCAAACAAAAUGCCCUGUAGGGCCUUGCCUGCUGGUUUUUGCCCAUGGCAGGAGGUGCAGAACCCCUGUCUUCCAUGUGGUGGUAGCCUCUGAGAGAGGAUGACCUUAUUGUCAUCUCACCUGGUAAAAGGCAGUCUGGUUCCUGUAAAGUUUUCUGUCCAAACAAGUACAAAAAGCUAAGAAAUAAUACCAGAAACCAAGUAACUGAUGUCAAUUUCUGCCAUCAGGAUGGUUGUAGUAGGCAAGGACUGGGCCCUAUGGCUGUUCCCCUUGGAAGAAGUCAGAAGUCAGGAAGCAUCACCAAGGCGUCUGUGGUACAGUUCAGAAUUGAACUAAAAGUUCAUAACUCGCUUCUUUUUUUUUUUUUUUUUUUUUUUUUUUAAUCUAGCCUUUCCACCACUGGGCUGAUGUGUGUUGGAUGUAGAUGAACAUCUGCUGAUAUAUAAUUAUAUGAUAUAUAAUUUUUAUGAUAUAUAAAAGGGACAAUGCUCACUGAAAUAGAUUAAAAGUCUCUUAAUAAUA